rnacentral:rRNA from 1 species
GUCCUUUUGAUUUUUAUUUAAGGUCUGACCUGCCCACUGAUAUUUUUAAUGGCCGCGGUAUUUUGACCGUGCAAAGGUAGCAUAAUCAUUUGUCUCUUAAUUGGAGGCUUGUAUGAAUGGUUGGACGAGAAAACUACUUUCUUUAUAAUAAAUAAAUUAAUUUUAUUUUUUAGUUAAAAAGCUAGAAUAUUUUUGUAGGACGAGAAGACCCUAUAGAACUUUAUAUUUAUCUUAGUGUUAUUAUUUCUUGAUUAUUAUAUAUUACAUUAAUAUAAUUAUUUUGUUGGGGCGACAAGAAAAUUUAUAUAACUUUUCUAUAUAAUUUCAUUAAUUAUUGUAUACAUGAUCCUUUAUUAUGGAUAUUAAGAAUAAGUUACCUUAGGGAUAACAGCGUAAUUUUUUUGGAGAGUUCUUAUCAAUAAAAAAGUUUGCGA